UACGGAGGGUGCAAGCGUUAUCCGGAUUCACUGGGUUUAAAGGGUGCGUAGGCGGGCAGGUAAGUCCGUGGUGAAAUCUCUGAGCUUAACUCAGAAACUGCCAUGGAUACUAUUUGUCUUGAAUGUUGUGGAGGUAAGCGGAAUAUGUCAUGUAGCGGUGAAAUGCUUAGAUAUGACAUAGAACACCUAUUGCGAAGGCAGCUUACUACGCAUAUAUUGACGCUGAGGCACGAAAGCGUGGGGAUCAAACAGG
rnacentral:rRNA from 1 species